rnacentral:rRNA from 1 species
UACGUAGGGGGCAAGCGUUGUCCGGAAUUAUUGGGCGUAAAGAGCGCGUAGGCGGUCCGAUAAGUCGGCUGUGAAAGUCAGGGGCUCAACCCUUGAAAGCCGGCCGAUACUGUCGGACUAGAGUCCGGAAGAGGCGAGUGGAAUUCCCGGUGUAGCGGUGAAAUGCGCAGAUAUCAGGAGGAACACCGGUGGCGAAGGCGGUGGUCUGGGCCGGAACUGACGCUGAGGAGCGAAAGCGUGGGGAGCGAACAGG